AGCAGCCUUGUCAAAUUCAGUGCAUCCUCCUCAGUGUAUGCCACUGGCCAAAAUGGCUGCCACAGUGAAAAUGUAGUAGAUGGGCCCCAUUGUCCUGCAAUAUGGCCAUCGGGGAUAAAUUUUACUACACACAGGU
ensembl:snoRNA